UUCCCGGGUCACGGGCCGCCGCCGUGCGCGGGCGAGGAGGGAAGCGCGCUGCGAGGGGAGGAAAGGGAGGGGAAAGGGGCUGAGCAGCGCUUAGCCGAGCCGAGCCGAGCCGAGCCGAGCUUAGCCAAACCGAGCCGGGCCGGGCCGCGCUCCCCGCGCUGCGCCACAGCCCGCCGCCGCCGCGCUCGCAGCCUGUCAGCCCGCCCGGCGCGGCCCGCGCCCCGCCCCGCCCCGCCCCCGCGCGGCGGGACGCUCCAACAUGGAGGCGGGGAGCGGGCAGCGCCCGGGCCCCGCUGCGCGGGGUGAGGAGAUACAAACAUCUUGUCUGACGAAAGCAUGUUUUGUGAGGCUUGACAAAUGUGAUGUUCACCUUGAGCCGACGUGUUAUAGAUGUUUUAAGUGUUGGCUGCAUGAGCUAAAUCCCAAAUAAUCCCAUGGAACACGUGAGUGGAUUCAUCUCCAUGUUGCAGAUUCCAGUUUUUCUCUUCCAACUCUUUUGACUGAGUUCAACCAGAAUUUCAUUUUGCUGAACUGGCCUGAUUUGGGAUGCAAACCAACCUCUGAAAGACUGAAAUUUCCUGUGGGAUCAUAAAUUUUCUGAAUUUUGUUCAUCUCUAGUUACUCCUCGUGCAGAAAAGGCCUAAAGCAAACAAACAGCCAGUCUCCUACUGCAGAUAGAAAAGCCUCCUGUCCCAUCGCUGAGCUCAGCUUCACUGUACCUUGCAAAUUCCCUGAUGGGUCUGCUCCUGCUCCCAGUGAAAACACUUGACACUAGCUCAACUGAGAACAGACAUGGAUUUGUAAAGCAAAACCAAGGACAGAAAGCAUCCUGGCACCGGGAAGGAAUCUGUCCUCCACACACCACAGAUGCCCACAGGUGACCAACGACAAGGUGCAUCGUGUAAAACUCCCCUCUGAAACAUCCGCUAUCAAUGACUGCUGGUACCAUUUUUCAGCCAAAAUGUUGAGUAGCUGCUAAUUACAAGAUGACAAGUGAGCGGCUCGUAAUUGUGUUGUUGAUUAUUUUUGGGAAGCCCCGUGUCACUGUGGUGACAGCCUAGAAGGAGAGAGCAUGCAAUGUUAGGUGCUUUUGGGAACUUUAAUUUAUAGAAACGUGCUGUGUUCCCAGCUCCCAUGGCAUCAGCUGCGAGGGCUGCUGCCUUCCAGCUGCGACGCUGAGCCAGUGGAGCUGCACAAAAUUAAUACAAGCAACGAUAGGGAAAAGGGAGAGCAGUCCCCUGGGCCUGGGUGACCGACGGUGACAGUGGGUGGAUGUCUUCUCUGUCAAGAUGGAGGUUUGCAAAAUAUCCAACUUGUCUGGGUUGCUUUAACCUAUUUCUUUUGGGUGUUCCCAGGAAAAUUGGAGCUCUAGACAUGUUGGGAUGGCAGGAACUCAGAGAGGUUCCCCCUUCCCAAGGUCUUGUCCUUUGACAGAUCAUCAAGCGGGAAUCUCUUUGCAAGUUACCAUGGGUGGGAGUCAGCAUGCAGAGUAAGGCCUAAAUUUUGGUGCUUUGGUGUAGAUGCCUUCAUGUGAGCCAGGUGCCUAAGCCUCCAUCUACGGGAGGAACUCAGCUGCCUGAACCUGGUGCCUGUAAAUGCAUCAUGGGUCUUGGACCUUUGGCUUGGACUAGAGGGUCUGGACAGCAGUGAAAGACACUUGGUGCAAAGCAAACCUGAGCGGCAGGGCUGGAACCGUGCUGGUUUCUGCCAAAAUGGUGAGGAACGGCAGCAUCUCUCUCCCUCUCUCUCCCUUUCAAGUACCCAUGGCUUUUCUCUUGUGUUAACUGUCAUCCUCCUCCUGUUUCUGUAAACACUGUAAUUCAAAAAUAGAAAAAGGAGAACGAAACAAAACAACUGCUUAAAAAGCCCUGUGAAAAAAGGGGAACCUAAGAUAUAAUUAUGCCUCUUGGAUGAUAUUUUCCCCUGAUAAUACUGGAAAAAUACUAAGCACGUUCAUGUGAUGUUCUAGUGUGCAAGGAUCUGCAGCAUGUCUCCCUCCUGCUUGCUCUCCCCCUUCCUCUCUCUCUUGCUCUCUGUUUCAGGAACUGACAGCAUUUAAUGUUGAUGUACCUAGAGGCAGCUCAGAUGUGAUCCUGCAGCACUGCCAUGCUCUGAUUUAAGGAUCAGUCCAUAAAACCCACUGAACACACAGUCACAGCAUUUGACCCCAGAAAAAAAUUUAGAUUUUCAACCCUCUUUCCACCAUCCUUUGGGUUUCCGGCUCAUUUCUGGGUGCCUUUGAAGGAACAGGGAAACUAAAGAGAUUGUGAUGUUGAGCCAUCCCCGCUCCCAUCACAGCCCCGUUUCCCCAUGAAAGCAGGCAAGUGCUAGGAGCUCGCCGAGCAAGACAGGAGCACUUCUGCGGGCUGGUGGCUGGAUGCAAGCGGUGGCAGUGAUGCACCAAACCGGGGGUUGAAUUUGGGGGACAGGGCACCGUGGUUUAAGUGAGGUCUAAGUGAACGUAAGGCUUUUGCACCUCAGCAGCACGCGGGCCAACAAAUAAUCCCCUCCCAGCUACUUUCGCUCCUGCUCUCGUUGGCUGGCCGAUCAAGCCCCGCUGAUAAUUGCGCUGUCAAAGCUCUGCAGGAAAUUCCCGCUGCCUUCGUAUGGAGGCUUCUCCUGACACACUCCUGGGGUUAGAGGAUCCCAGGCUUAAUUUAUUCACUGUUUUCAGACUCAGGUCCAAAUAAGGACUAUGCUUUCUCUUUCACCUCUCCCCUGAGGUCUGCAGUUGCUGAAAUCCAAACCCUGCAGCAGAUCACCGUGUUUUGCACUAAUUUAACAUGAAGCUUCAGGUGCUUAAACAUUUCUGCAGUCUUUGAGCACAAAAGUGGCCUUUUUUCCUUUGCCUCCUCCCCCUGUGUUAAUCAAACACUGUGUGUGUCCCUCCCCCCCCAAAAAAAACCCCCAAACCAAACCCAAAAAUAGAGGAAAGACCUAUGUUACUUAUUUCUUUGACACAUUUCAUGUUUUUAAGUGCAGUUUUCUCCACCAGGUUGCAGGAAGGCUCACUGCUGGGCAUGGUCCUCAGCAGGCUCUUGAAAAACCAAGGUGGAUUUAAUGCUGGUGAGAAAAUCUGAAAGCAGAUCUGUGUCCCAAAGCCCAGAGUUUGAGUGUCGGAUGUUUGCACAUCUCAGCACUGGGGACCUGAUCACGGCUCUGAUGAUCCCCUGUGGAGUGAGGCCUUGGCAAAGCAGGCUCAAGUCCUCCACAUGGGGUAGAUGGCCCCAUAAGCUUGUAGCGUGUUUAUAAAGCUUUAUUCUUUUUAAAACUGAAGACUCCCACCUAGACUGGCACUUCUUAAAUAGUUGUGGGUUUUUUUGAUAACUCUUAACUUGUCAGAUAAAGAGACAAAGAAAAAGCAGCCCUUUCACCAAAUAAGGUGUAGUUCAGUGAAAAGUUAAACCUGAAAAAAGUGGAGACACCAAUAAAAAAACCCCGAAAAUUAAUGUUUUCAUCUUUUUAAAAUUAUUUUUUAACUUGUUGUUUUGAAAAGGUGCUUAAAAUCAACCAAAGAUUCUUCUUCCCAGCUGCAUAGGUGUCGUCCUAAAUUCAACCUCCCAUGAAAAUUCAAGCUGCCUUGUCCUCAUCGGGGUUUUAAAUUGAAUUAGUUAACCCAAUUAGGAAUGCUUUUUGCUUUUCUGUGUUUGGUAGCGACUGAUAAGCCUGCAGCCGCAGAGAAGCAUGGGUUUGAUUCAAGCUGCUGCCUGGACCUGCACGUGGAAUUGGUUAACCAUGUGCAGGAGAGCUUUCCUGAGCCAGACCCAUAUUUCCUGCAUAAAUGAUACUUGUGACAAAUACCUGGUGUCAUUGAUAUUCUAUUAGUUUCCUUCACUGAAAGAUCAGACAGCUUUAAAAAGCCAAUAAAUUCCCACAGAUUGUCUCUGAAAGGGAGAAAAAAAGAUUCCUUGGCAGGCCACACACCAUUAAGCCCAAGAAGUGAGCAGUGGUUUAUGGUUAGCAGAGCUGAGGUCACUACUUUUGGACAGGUGCAAUUAAGAUUCACUGAAGCAACCAAAACCCACUACUUCUUCGGGUGCUGGGGCAAAGACACCUUGUUCAGACAGCAGCAGCCUCAGCUCAGAGCGACUUUCUGUACUGCUGCAAUUCCCAGCCAUGCUGGUCCUGGAAGCAUACCCCAGUGUUUAGAGACAGAAGCCAGCAUGAAUCCCACUUUAAAAAAAAAAAAAAAAAGCUUUAUGAAGAUCCAGGGCUAUUUCUCUGAAGCCAGAGCAUCUGCUUGCCUUGUAGACUAGAGGCCAUAUGUAUGAACCCAUUUUUUUUGUCUUGGAGCGUUGUUAACCUUCUGCAGCUGACAACAUGCCCACCUUGUGGUCACCACAUCUCUGUCGCUCAAGGAAAGGUCUCAAGCCACGUGGCUUGCUUUUUUUUUUUUUACACAGGGGAUCAGUAUUUGUGGUAAGAAAUUGCAGCAGCUCCCUCAUUUCCCGUUGUGCUCGGGAGAUCUGGCUGCUGGCAGUUUUCAGGUGCCAUUUCCUGAUGCUUGGGUGUCCUUGCAUCCAUCUAUCUGUUGAAAUGAUUUCCCCAGAGCUUGCUGUAGCUGUAAUCCUUCAGCAAGUCCUUUGUUCCCACUGUUCUGCUUAUGCCUGAGAAAUUAUGUUAUUCAUGCCCAGAUAUAUCUUUCAGCCAUUUGGACCCAGAUUUUGAAUUUCAAGAAGCCGCAGUUUUUUGGGUUUGUUUUUUAUAUUUUUUUAAAUAUCUCUGGGUACAGGUAAAACAGAUCUUUUUAGCUAAAUACAAGAAUAAAUGAAUAUGCAGAUUUUUUUUUCUGAAGGUCUCGAGCACAAAUGCUAGCUUUGAUGAAUGACUCAUUCCCUUUGUUAUAGUAGCAUUGUUGAAGCUCUGGUGUUUUCAGGCUAUGAGCAAGGCAAGGUUGGGAGGAGGAGUUAUUGUCUUUUAUUAGACUAGAUGAUACAGUUGGAAAAAAUCAGGCAAGAUUUCAGGCAUGCAAUCCUUUUCUUCAGGUUUGGAGCUGCUUCUGCUGUCUUUGAGCUGACUACGAGAACAGCCAUUGCAAUAUUUGACUGAGUUUAGCCAAAGUCAGCACAGUUGUCCUCAGUUUUUCUUUCUAACCUGGAGAAAGAGCCCUGGAGCUCUCUGUCAGCAUCACCCUAAAUUCAGCCUCAUGCUAAAACUCCGUAUCAUUUCAUCCAUUAAAUGAUAGCAGCCCCUUUGAACAUAUUUGCCCACAGGUCUGUUUAGCUUCCAGUUGCUCUUUUAUACCUGAUAAAUAAAAGCAGUUGGA